rnacentral:rRNA from 1 species
AUACGGAGGGUGCAAGCGUUAUCCGGAAUCACUGGGUUUAAAGGGUGCGUAGGCGGCCUGGUAAGUCAGAGGUGAGAUACACGAGCUUAACUGGUGAAUUGCCUUUGAAACUAUCAAGCUAGAAUUAUGUUGAGGUCAGCGGAAUGAGUCAUGUAGCGGUGAAAUGCAUAGAUAUGACUUAGAACACCAAUUGCGUAGGCAGCUGGCUAGGCAUUAAUUGACGCUGAGGCACGAAAGCGUGGGGAGCGAACAGGAUUAGAAACCCUAGUAGUCC